UGAGGAAUUUUGGACAAUGGGGGCAACCCUGAUCCAGCGACGCCGCGUGAAGGAUGAAGGUCUUCGGAUUGUAAACUUCUUUUGUUUGGGACUAAGAAACCUAGGGAAACUUAGGGAGUGAACGACCAGAUGAAUAAGCCACGGCUAACUUCGUGCCAGCAGCCGCGGUAAUACGAAGGUGGCAAGCGUUACUCGGAAUUACUAGGCGUAAAGGGCAGGUAGGUGGUCUGAUAAGUCUGUUGUGAAAGCUCCCGGCUUAACUGGGAGAGGUCAAUGGGUACUGUCAGGCUUGAGUAUGGGAGAGGGUACUGGAAUUCCUGGUGUAGCGGUGAAAUGCGCAGAUAUCAGGAGGAACACCGAUGGCGAAAGCAGGUACCUGGACCAUUACUGACACUCAGCUGCGAAAGCUAGGGGAGCAAACAGG
rnacentral:rRNA from 1 species